UCAUUUAUCUCUUAAAUGUUUUUUCAAAGGUUUUAUCCUUCUCCUUUUAACUUGUGUCUUUUUCUUGGAAGAUCGAUCAAUCAAGAACAAGAAUCUUGAGUUUAUCAAGUAAAAAUGGAGAUAACAGCAACAUCCCAGUUGUGUUCACAGGUUAAGUUCUCGAUCUCAUCAUCACUCUUCUGUUUAAAUGGUAACAGUAAGAGGAACCAAAACGGAGCUGUUUCAGUCAAUUGCUUGAAAGAGAUCAAACAGUUCAGUAACAUUAGCUUCACUGCCAAGAAGAAACACAGAAACCAAGGGCCGGUGGUGAGGACAACAACACGCGCCUCCGUGGUGGAUGAGAAUCAACCUCAAGCUUCUGCCACCACCAAAGGAGAACGGUGGCUUCUCCAACCAGUUGGCGAUGGAGACACAAGACACAUUGGUUACAAAGUGGAAAUGCCUGCUCCUUUCGAGAUCUCUUCCGGUCAAGUAACCAUCGGACGGCUACCCGAAAAGGCUGACGUUGUGAUUCCUGUGGCCACCGUUUCGGGAGUACAUGCCACAAUAGACACACAAAGAGACAACCUUCUCGUAACGGAUAUGAACAGCACAAAUGGUACAUUCAUCGAAGACAAACGUCUGAUCCCUGGUGUUGCUGCUCCUGCCUUUCCCGGAACCCGAAUCACCUUUGGAGAUACAAAUCUAGCAAUUUUCCGUGUUUUCAAGCUCCAAGAUAGGCAAGAGGAAGAACCCACUGAGAAACCAGCCACAGAAAUCCGAAGCACUGUAAACAAAAGUAUAUUUUCUUCUUCUUUUUCAUCCCUUCAGUGUAAGACAAUAUCUCUUGCUGCCUAGCCGUGGCUUCGUCCAGAGUCUGAUAUUUCAAACAAAAUAAAUUAAAUUGGACAACUGAAGCUCAAGCUCGUCUACACGGCUUAGAGCGGCAGUGAGUAUCUGUUCUUUCUCCGGGGAGGACACCGCCGCCUGCUGAUUCUGCAACGAUCUACAUUUCUCCUCCAGCUCGGCCAUUCUCUUCUCCAUCAACGUAUACUCUUGGCUUGACACCAUCUCCGUCUCUUCUUUCUCUGCUUUGUCGCCGUAUAUAGCUGCCUUAGUGAGCUUCCUAAGCAUGUUCUUUGUUACUAUAUAUCCCACGUCCUGAAAGUAUUUACAAUAGAUGGUUUGAUAUGUUUGAAACUUACUUGUGUUUCACGUUUCCUUAAAAAUGCUAGCUUCUUCUUGCAA